GCCAGUGUGGUUUAGAGGCCUGAAUGCUGGUCUAGGACUCUGGAGAGACCUGGGUUCGAAUCCCAGCUCGGCCA